AGGGCGGGACACGUGACAUCCUGUCUGAAUAUGGGGGGACCAUCCUCCAAGGCUAAAUACUCCUGACUGACCGAUAGUGAACCAGUACCGUGAGGGAAAGGCGAAAAGAACCCCGGCGAGGGGAGUGAAACAGAACCUGAAACCGUGUACGUACAAGCAGUGGGAGCACCUUCGUGGUGUGACUGCGUACCUUUUGUAUAAUGGGUCAGCGACUUAUAUUUUGUAGCAAGGUUAACCGAAUAGGGGAGCCGUAGGGAAACCGAGUCUUAACUGGGCGUCUAGUUGCAAGGUAUAGACCCGAAACCCGGUGAUCUAGCCAUGGGCAGGUUGAAGGUUGGGUAACACUAACUGGAGGACCGAACCGACUAAUGUUGAAAAAUUAGCGGAUGACUUGUGGCUGGGGGUGAAAGGCCAAUCAAACCGGGAGAUAGCUGGUUCUCCCCGAAAGCUAUUUAGGUAGCGCCUCGUGAACUCAUCUUCGGGGGUAGAGCACUGUUUCGGCUAGGGGGUCAUCCCGACUUACCAAACCGAUGCAAACUCCGAAUACCGAAGAAUGUUAUCACGGGAGACACACGGCGGGUGCUAACGUCCGUCGUGAAGAGGGAAACAACCCAGACCGCCAGCUAAGGUCCCAAAGUCAUGGUUAAGUGGGAAACGAUGUGGGAAGGCACAGACAGCCAGGAUGUUGGCUUAGAAGCAGCCAUCAUUUAAAGAAAGCGUAAUAGCUCACUGGUCGAGUCGGCCUGCGCGGAAGAUGUAACGGGGCUAAACCAUGCACCGAAGCUGCGGCAGCGAACGUAUCACUUAAAACGCUUAACGUGACGGCAAAGCCGGCAUGUUCAAGCCACACUAAACGUUGAGUUGGCCGAUGUGCUGACAAACGAACAGGCGUUUUAAGGAUACGUUCGUUGGGUAGGGGAGCGUUCUGUAA
rnacentral:rRNA from 1 species